GAUGAACGCUGGCGGCGUGCCUAAUACAUGCAAGUCGAGCGAACAGACGAGGAGCUUGCUCCUCUGACGUUAGCGGCGGACGGGUGAGUAACACGUGGAUAACCUACCUAUAAGACUGGGAUAAUUUCGGGAAACCGGAGCUAAUACCGGAUAAUAUAUUGAACCGCAUGGUUCAAUAGUGAAAGACGGUUUUGCUGUCACUUAUAGAUGGAUCCGCGCCGCAUUAGCUAGUUGGUAAGGUAACGGCUUACCAAGGCAACGAUGCGUAGCCGACCUGAGAGGGUGAUCGGCCACACUGGAACUGAGACACGGUCCAGACUCCUACGGGAGGCAGCAGUAGGGAAUCUUCCGCAAUGGGCGAAAGCCUGACGGAGCAACGCCGCGUGAGUGAUGAAGGUCUUCGGAUCGUAAAACUCUGUUAUUAGGGAAGAACAAAUGUGUAAGUAACUAUGCACGUCUUGACGGUACCUAAUCAGAAAGCCACGGCUAACUACAUG
rnacentral:rRNA from 1 species